rnacentral:rRNA from 1 species
CGUAGGUGGCAAGCGUUGUCCGGAUUUACUGGGCGUAAAGAGCGCGCAGGCGGUUGUGCAAGUCGCGUGUGAAAGCCCCCGGCUCAACUGGGGAGGGUCACGCGAUACUGCUCAACUCGAAGGCAGGAGAGGGAAGUGGAAUUCCCGGUGUAGUGGUGAAAUGCGUAGAUAUCGGGAGGAACACCAGUGGCGAAGGCGACUUCCUGGCCUGUUCUUGACGCUGAGGCGCGAAAGCUAGGGUAGCAAACGGGAUUAGAUACCCCGGUAGUCCUAGCCGUAAACGAUGGACACUAGGUGUUGGUGGUAUCAACCCCGCCAGUGCCGAAGCUAACGCAUUAAGUGUCCCGCCUGGGGAGUACGGCCGCAAGGCUA